rnacentral:misc_RNA from 1 species
GAACUGCGAUAAGUAAUGUGAAUUGCAGAAUUCAGUGAAUCAUCGAGUCUUUGAACGCACAUUGCGCCCCCUGGCAUUCCGGGGGGCAUACCUGUCCGAGCGUCAUUGCUGCCCUUCAAGCCCGGCUUGUGUGUUGGGUCGUCGUCCCCUCCGGGGGACGGGCCCGAAAGGCAGCGGCGGCACCGCGUCCGGUCCUCGAGCGUAUCGGGCUUUGUCACCCGCUCGAUAAGGACCGGCCGGGCGCCAGCCGGCGUCUCCAACCUUUUUUUCUCAGGUUGACCUCGGAUCAGGUAGGGAUACCCGCUGAACUUAAGC